UUUUAAAAGUCUGUGGUUUCAGAGAUGUCUAGUGACAUUCAUAUUUACCUUCCAGGGCUGCAGUGGCACCUGCUAUAUGAGGCUGAGAGGAGAGGCUGCUCAGACGCAGAGAGCCCAGUUGAAAUCUACCCACACUUGCUAUUAAAUCACAAGCCGUCCACACAAAGAACAAAAUCCAACCAACAGCUACGGGGCUCCGUGAGGCAGUGGACACCAGUGCUGCAACCCUCAUGCCCCGAAAUGCACCUGACAUAUGGGACAUGGAUGGAGCUGGAAGCCACGAUCCUCAGCAAACUAACACAGGAAUACAAAACAAAACACCACAUGUCUCAUAAGUGGGAGCUGAAUAAUAAGAACACAUGGACACAG